CAGGAGGGGAGAGUGGAAUUCCUAGUGUAGCGGUGAAAUGCGUAGAUAUUAGGAGGAACACCAGUGGCGAAGGCGGCUCUCUGGACUGUAACUGACGCUGAGGCACGAAAGCGGGGGGAGCAAACAGGAUUAGAUACCCUGGUAGUCCACGCUGUAAACGAUGAGUACUAGGUGUCGGGGGUUACCCCC
rnacentral:rRNA from 1 species